GUGUCAGCUGCUGCAUCUGGCCUUUUUAUUUUUGAGAUGAUGUCUUGUUCUAUCGCCCCGGCUGGAGUACAGUGGUGCGAUCUUGGCUCACUGCAACCUCCACCUCCCGGGUUCAAGCGAUUCUCCUGCCUCAGUCUCCCCAGUAGCUGAGAUUAUAAGUGUGCACCACCACUCCUGGCUAAUUUUUAUAUUUUUAGUAGAGACAGGGUUUCACCAUGUUGGCCAGGUUGGUCUUGAACUCCUGACCUCAAGUGGUCUGCCCACCUUGGCCUCCCAAAGUGCUGGGAUUAUAGGCCUGAAGUAUUUAUUUAUUUAUUUUUAUUUUUUAUUUUUUUGAGACAGGAUCUUGUUCUGUUGCCCAGGCUGGAGUGCAGUGGUGCAAGUACAACUCACUGCAGCCUCAAACUCCUGGCCUCAAGCGAUCUACCUGCCUGGACUUCCCAAAGUGCUGGCAUUACAGGCAUGAGCCACCGGGCCUGGCCUUCACUUCACUUCACUUCUCUGAUCCUCCUGGGAAAGUCUGACCAUCGGGGCUCUUAUUUGCAUGGGGUUUAGAGUUUCCAGGAACAUGGGGGUACGCUGGCCCAGCUCUAGCACAGUCCCCUAAGACCUCACCACAAACGGCCCAACCUCGCUUCCCCUGACCUGCUUGGGUGAUGUGGUCUCCCACAAACUAACGUCUUCCUUUCAGAUGUCGCAACAGAAUCACCCCCACACCCCUCAGUGUCCGCAGGCCUCGGCCCGCAAACGGACAUGCGUCCCCCAGAGGAAGGAAGGGUGUGGAGGGGAAAACGAAGGUGCCCUGAUGGGGAGAUAACGGGGCUAGAAUUCCAAGGCCCCCUCUCUCUGAUACCAGGUUCUCCAGGGAGACAGAUCUGGGCUUCUCAGCAGAGGCCGCAGCUGUGCAUUUAUCGAUGUAAACAGAGCAUGUUAGAGAUUCCCG
rnacentral:lncRNA from 1 species